rnacentral:rRNA from 1 species
AAUGAACGCUGGCGGCAGGCCUAAAACAUGCAAGUCGAACGCCCUAGCAAUAGGGAGUGGCGCACGGGUGAGUAACAUGUGGGAAUAUGCCUUUUGGUACGGCACAACGUUUGGAAACGAACGCUAAUACCGUAUGGUACCUACGGGGUAAAGAUUUAUCGCCAAAAGAUUAGCCCGCACUAGAUUAGCUAGUUGGUAAGGUAAUGGCUUACCAAGGCGACGAUCUAUAGCUGUUCUGAGAGGAAGAUCAGCCACACUGGGACUGAGACACGGCCCAGACUCCUACGGGAGGCAGCAGUUAGGAAUAUUGGACAAUGGGCGCAAGCCUGAUCCAGCCAUGCCGCGUGAGUGAUGAAGGCCUUCGGGUUGUAAAGCUCUUUAGCCGACGAAUAUAAUGACUGUAGUCGGAGAAUAAGCCCCGGCUAACUUCGUGCCAGCCGCCGCCGUAAUAC